rnacentral:lncRNA from 1 species
AUUUAUUAUGUCCACACUAUCUAUUACAUAAACAAGACUUCAAUACUCUUGCUGACCUCCUGGUCUACCCUGUACCUGCAAACCUGGGGGAUUAGGGAGAGGGGUGAGCUACUAGAGCCCAGUGAGCAGAAUAAUAAAACAUUUAAAACAUAUGAUAACAUGGAAUGCAUCACAUCACAGCUAAUCACAUCAAGGAUGAACUUGUCACCAAUAGCCCUCUACAUAGUCCAACUGUGCCAGAACGUAGAAUGGGUCCUGGUCUUUCUCUUACAUAACAUAGCAUAACAUAACAG